UACGAACCGGGCGAACGUUGUCCGGAAUCACUGGGCGUAAAGGGCGCGUAGGCGGGCUCUUAAGUCGGAUGUGAAAUCUUGCGGCUUAACCUCAAGAGUGCAUUUGAUACUGGGUGCCUAGAGGGAGGGAGGGGCAGGUGGAAUUCCCGGUGGAGCGGUGAAAUGUGUUGAUAUCAGGAGGAACGCCGGUGGCGAAAGCGAUUUGCUGGACCGCAUCUGACGCUGAGGCGCGAAAGCUAGGGUAGCAAACGGG
rnacentral:rRNA from 1 species